GCGGCCUCGGCGGCGGCGGCGCACGCCCCUGGCCCAAGAGCGGGCGGACGGGGGAGGGGGCGGCAAGCGGAGAGGCCGCGAGGCCGGAAGAGAGGUCGCGGCUCAGGGGAGCUUGCCGGCAGAGCGUGCGGCGAAGCCGGCUCAGGGGGACCGGAAACAAUGCCGCACCACGUCCGUAGGGAAAUUCCUUCCCUUCCCUUCAAGUCUCCGCGGACUCUGGCGGGCGUGGGCUGCCUGCAGCUCCAGCUCUGGUGGGACAAGAACCUUCGAGGGGAAAGCACGGGCACACCAGGAAAAGGGACCACACAUUAAAGACUGGAAAUUAGGUAAUUCAUAAAAAAAACCCAGUAAAAACACCAAAGUAGUACAAAGUAGAUACACUAAAGUAUGUUUGCAGAAGAACUAGUUCUAAAUAAUCAAGGCUGGAAUAAUCAAGGUUUUGAAGAUCUGACUGGAAAAAAAAAAACAGUCUUUUCAUACAAGUUUGUUGUUCAUCAAGGAAUGAGCUUCCUUCUAAUCCUUUAUGAUUGAUAAGUAACCAAAUUGACUUCAAUGGAUCAUGAAUUCUCAAGAUGUUGAAAUGUCAUUAAUUUUCUCAAGACAUCUUCUCUUAUCAGCUCUCUUUAGAUUUUUUAAAAGUGGGUAAUGGAGACCUCUGAAACACUUCCUUACUGAUUACAAACUAAAUGCUCCUAGGGGACUGAAAAUCAAACCUAACAACAAGACAGAGCCAAGUAACCCUCCUGCUGAACUCAACAUAAAAAGUACACCCCCCAGAGCCAGAAUUCAAGAACACUCGGGUUUAAGGGGAAGGAAGAAGGAAGGUCCCUGGAACUCUCCUCCACCUAGAGCGCUAAGCCUCCAGCGGCAGCUGGAAACUCUGGGCGGGAAAAGGCACUGGUCUGGAGGGAGUACCUUGGGGGCAAAGCUGUGCCAGGCUCAUAGUGUCCAGCAAAGGAAGUAGGGAGGCAGAUAGAGGAGAAACGCAGAGCAGAGAGCUGGAGGCAUAGUUGCAGAAGCAGAGACACUCUAUAUUGUCCCCCACUUCCCGAGGUUUUGGACUCAGGGCACAUCCAGCAAUGGAGCCAGACUUAAUCCCAUCAAAGCUUUCAUAGGGCAGGGAAGCUCAAGCUCCAACACCCCUUCCCCACAGACUGAACUGAGAGAUUUACUGACAAAACUCCAAGGGUGAAGGCUGAAAGAAAAGCCCAAAACCACAGAGAGAGAGAGAGAGAGAGAGAGAGAGAGAGAGAGAGAGAGAGAGA
rnacentral:lncRNA from 1 species